rnacentral:snRNA from 1 species
GUGCUUUCUUUGGCAGCACAUAUACUAAAAUUGGAACGAUGCAGAGAAGAUUAGCAUAACCCCUCUGCAAGGAUGACAUGCAAAUUCAUGAAGUGUUCCAUGAAGUA